AUGCAAUGCAGAGAAAGUGAGAAAGGAGCCAUGUUACCUCUUCAUCUCAAGGUCAGCUCUCAGGAGAGAACAAGAGAACUUCCAGAAGCCUCAGCUCCCUUCUUGAAUGGGUUGGAGAAAACCCCUUCUGAUGUCAUUAUAUUGCAAAGGUUCCAUAUUGUUGUUUCCUUAAUGCAAGAGUUCCAUACCUCCUCGAUGUUUCUCGUGGGCAGCUCCUCAGAGCACUGACUCUUCCUUCUUCACAAAGCAGCCAACUGACUCAAGAUUCCCCUCAACCAGCCACCUCAAUCUUUUACAGCACUCUUCUUAUUGGCUAUAGCUGUGGCCUGUUAAAGUCAGGCCUGCUCCUAAUCUUUAAUAAUUUACCCAGCUGCAACUUCUUAGGGGUAAGUUUACUUUCUAUACUAUCUUUAUAUUCUUAUAUUCUAUCCCCCUACACUCUACACCUCCUGGCUGCUUUUAUUCUUGUCCUUCAAAGCAGAACAAGCUAGUCUUUGGCAGUUAACUCCUCCUCAGAGCCACAAAACAAAUUAAUGUGUUACUUCAGGAACUUUGAGGGUUUUACCCUCUAAUUGUAACCCUAAUGACUAUAAAUUACAGAACUACUUUAGAGGAACACACAAUAAGCUUUCUAAAGCAUUGCCUUCCACACUUGGGUGCUGAGAAAAUCAAGAAGAGAGUCAGUGGGGACAGAGACUGAAUAGGACACCUGAGCAGCUGACUAAGUGAAAAACCUGACAGCUAUUUAAUGGCCAUUUAACAGAUAUUGAGUAAAAUAAUAUUCUGACAAAGUCUAAACAAAAAAAGGGGCUCCAUGAUCUUUGUUUUUCUCCUGUUCACCCAACAGGACCAGCACUUUUACCAAAUGUCUGGGUUUACAGUAAAUUGUUUUUAGUCCUUAUUACUUGCAAACUAAGUUCCACUCAAGUCAGCUUCGUAGCACUAACUUUGGCCUUGGCUGUAGUGGGAUAUACAAAAUACAGCUUUUAUAAAAGAGUCCCCCUCAAACACACACUGCUUUGUUCUUUAUUUAAACAACAAACUAGGGGGUCCAGCUGAACUGCUGAUCACAUCGUGUUACCUUCAUGAAGAAAAUGUUCCCAGAUGAGCAUUUGAGUCAGUGUUUGGGCUCUCAGACAUGCCAGAGCUUAAGAGCAAUAGCAGGGUAAAGCAUGCCACAAAGAACUGCUUUUAGAGCUUAAUUUAAUAUAUUUUGCUUUUUCCUAUUGCUGCAAGAAAAACAAACAGAUAUAACUCCCCCUGGUGAGGAUGGCUAUGUACUUUUCCUUGAAAUCAUCACAUAGUUAAUGACAGCUCUUAGAUAUAAUUAAAUUUAUCCACUAAGAAUUGCUACUAUUUAGAACAGGUUAUCCAAAAAGUAUUGUUGGGUUUGGCUUUCUUUCCAGAAGGUUCAGCUAAUAAAAAAUGUUAAGCUUUUUUUCA
rnacentral:lncRNA from 1 species